rnacentral:rRNA from 1 species
UCGUCAGCUCGUGUCGUGAGAUGUUGGGUUAAGUCCCGCAACGAGCGCAACCCUUGCCUUUAGUUGCCAGCAUUAAGUUGGGCACUCUAGAGGGACUGCCAAGGAUAACCUGGAGGAAGGUGGGGAUGACGUCAAAUCAUCAUGCCCCUUAUGCUUAGGGCUACACACGUGCUACAAUGGGUGGUACAGAGGGCAGCCAAGUCGUGAGGCGGAGCUAAUCCCUUAAAGCCAUUCUCAGUUCGGAUUGUAGGCUGAAACUCGCCUACAUGAAGCUGGAGUUACUAGUAAUCGCAGAUCAGAAUGCUGCGGUGAAUGCGUUCCCGGGUCUUGUACACACCGCCCGUCACACCACGGAAGUUGGGGGCGCCCGAAGCCGGAUUGCUAACCUUUUGGAAGCGUCCGUCGAAGCGUGUAUAUAUACGGAAUAACUGGGGUGAAGUCGUAACAAGGUAGCCGUA